GCCGGAUCUGUGCACAAAUCGAGAAAUGAGAGUGGAGAGACCGGAUGGAUGGCGAGUGGUGGGACGGACCGGGGGCACGAUGCUGGAUGUUUCCUAACUAGGGAGAGCUCUGAGUGUCGGAACUGUGGCCAAGUGUCAGCGCACAAGUGGGUGUGUCGGCGUGCAAGCCCAGGAGUUUCCUGAUUUCCAAUACAAAGAAGUGAUACUACAGGGAAGGGCCCGGAAAGCCUUCUCCUCCAAGGACACAGCACAGGACCCUGCCUGCCUCGAGCUUCCUUCACCCCUUUACGGGGGGAGAGGAUAAAGUCUACUAAGGGGGCCGAAUGCCAAAAAACCUUCUUUUUUUUUUUUUUUUGGCACUUACAGACUGUUUCUUCUUCAGAAAAGAUAUGAGGAUAUUUCAUAACUUUCUUCUUUUCUAAUAAAGGUAGUUGGUGUUUA
rnacentral:lncRNA from 1 species